CGGGCCAUAGUGUAGCGGUAACAUGCACCCUUGGGGUGGGUGUGACGGUGGGUUCAACUCCCACUGGCCCGA
rfam:Parcubacteria bacterium GW2011_GWA1_36_12 TR98_C0010, whole genome shotgun sequence.